CUGGCGGACCCAGUGGGUGGUCCGGAUGGGCCGUGGCAUACCCUAAGAUUUGGCCCACCAACGGAUCCCCACUCCCAGCCGGCCUGUCCAAGUGCCAGACUCGGCAUCUCCUGCGGUGGCGUGAGGUGUCCUGCCUAGCGACGACGCGGCCGACUCGCCGAGCGCCCGAGCCUCAGCCCCUCCCUGCGGCACCGGCGCGCCGCCCGGCCACAGCCGCGCCCGCCGCCCGCCGGGCACCGGAGCUGGCUGGAUCUAGAUGCCGCACCGCCUGUCCGCCGUUCCGCAGCCGCCGCGGCCCGCGGCGCCGCCCAGCUGCCUCCGCCUGUCCGCCGGUGCGCGGCCGCCGCCCAGCAGCCUCCGGCUGCCGCGAUGCAGCCGGCCAGCGGCCUCCCAACCUCCCAAAGGCCAAAGCCCCAAACCGAAGGUAACUCCUUGACCCUAUGGCCUAAGCAGUAGGUUUUUCUUUGAUUCCAAAAUCUCAACUCAUGUGAUCCUUUUUUGUAAGAUAAAUUGAUGAUUGAUACAUGGAUUGAUUAUUGAUUCAUUGUAUUUUAUUUUAUGCUUAUUUUAUGUAUUUUAAGGACUUAGUGUGCUUCUACUAUUUAUAUUGUAAUCUAUAGAAAUAUUGAACCUAACUGCUUGUGUAUCUAAUUGCUUGUGAUUUUUUUGUGUACCAAUUUUUUCUAGAUGGUAUCGAAUAUCGAAUUGGAUGUUAAAAUUUUGACGCGGCAUACCCUAGUUUCAAUCCUAGUCCGCCACUGGUGGAGGCCGGCGGCGUGCGUGCGCCACUCCCAUCCGCCGCCAAGAGACCGAGGAUGGUGCAGGUGCGGCCAUCGCUGGACGUACGUGGACGAGUGCUCGUUGGAACUAACCGACGGCGGACGUCGAGCUGAUGUACGUUCCGGCGGAUGGCGUUCGCUGCCGACCUCCCCACCGCCGAGUUCGGUGUGAGGACGACGUACGACCACCACUGCGGCAGCCGAUCUGGUUCCCGGCCGCACAAGCAGACGACGACGGCACCUACUUGUGCGUGCGGCGUGCCCGCCCGAGCUCUGCACACGGCACACGGAGGACGGGACGGCCGCGGAGAACCGCUGCGGCGGCGGAGGUGUCGCGAGGCAGGCGCAGAUUCGUUGAGAUAGCUAGCACAGUGUCAACACCUCCACCGUCUUACCACACAUCGCCCUCGCAACCCGCCUCCGAUCCACCGCCGGUCUUCUGAAACCCCCUCCUCUCUCUUUUAAGCCACCAGCGCCCUAGCAACCUCCCUUCCCCGAGUCCGGCCGCCGCGGCUCCGGGAGAAAGAUGAAUAAGGGCCUUCUGCGAUGUCACGAGUUCCACACUCGCGCGCGAUGAAUAGAAUUAGCCUGUCCGUGUCGGCACAUCUCGCAAGUGGGCAUGCGGCAAUAAUUAUGGUGACGUGGUCUAGACUGGUCCA